UACGAAGGGGGCUAGCGUUGCUCGGAAUCACUGGGCGUAAAGCGCACGUAGGCGGAUUGCUAAGUCAGGGGUGAAAUCCUGGAGCUCAACUCCAGAACUGCCUUUGAUACUGGCGGUCUCGAGACCGGAAGAGGUGAGUGGAACUGCGAGUGUAGAGGUGAAAUUCGUAGAUAUUCGCAAGAACACCAGUGGCGAAGGCGGCUCACUGGUCCGGUUCUGACGCUGAGGCGCGAAAGCGUGGGGAGCAAACAGG
rnacentral:rRNA from 1 species